rnacentral:piRNA from 1 species
AGAGUUCCUGUGAUUGCACGAGGUCAGC